rnacentral:rRNA from 1 species
UGGGGAAUAUUGCACAAUGGGCGAAAGCCUGAUGCAGCAACGCCGCGUGCGGGAUGACGGCCUUCGGGUUGUAAACCGCUUUCAGCAGGGACGAAGGUUUUCUGACGGUACCUGCAGAAGAAGCACCGGCUAACUACGUGCCAGCAGCCGCGGUGAUACGUAGGGUGCGAGCGUUGUCCGGAAUUAUUGGGCGUAAAGAGCUUGUAGGCGGUCCGUUGCGUCGGAAGCGAAAACUCAGGGCUUAACCCUGAGCCUGCUUUCGAUACGGGCGGACUUGAGGGAUGUAGGGGAGAACGGAAUUCCUGGUGGAGCGGUGGAAUGCGCAGAUAUCAGGAGGAACACCAGUGGCGAAGGCGGUUCUCUGGACAUUUCCUGACGCUGAGAAGCGAAAGCGUGGGGAGCAAAUCAGGCUUAGAUACCCUGGUAGUCCACGCCGUAAACGGUGGGCACUAGGUGUGGGACCCAUUUCCACGGGUUCCGUGCCGUAGCUAACGCAUUAAGUGCCCCGCCUGGGG